rnacentral:misc_RNA from 1 species
AAACCCCACACCAAAAAAAAAAAAUGGCAAGCACAUACCCAAUAUUUGCCCACAGAGUCAAUCAUUUUGUGGUAUGCAUGCUGUUGGCUAAUAGCCAGAAGUAACAUUGCCUUUCUAAUGGGAAAAACUUCUGUUUUUGGUGCUACCUGUGGAAUCAUGUCAAAUGAAAAGACUUGAAUUUCUGUUCAAAGCCAGGGGUAUAGAUAGACUUAAAUUUCUGUUUAUAGUUAGGGUUGUAGUAUUAUAAAUUUGUGUUGCUUUCUCCACUAAUUUUUCAUUCUUUUUAUUUGCAGGUGGCAGAGAG